rnacentral:rRNA from 1 species
AUUGAACGCUGGCGGCAGGCUUAACACAUGCAAGUCGAGCGGGGGAAGGUAGCUUGCUACUGGACCUAGCGGCGGACGGGUGAGUAAUGCUUAGGAAUCUGCCUAUUAGUGGGGGACAACAUCUCGAAAGGGAUGCUAAUACCGCAUACGUCCUACGGGAGAAAGCAGGGGAUCUUCGGACCUUGCGCUAAUAGAUGAGCCUAAGUCGGAUUAGCUGGUUGGUGGGGUAAGGGCCUACCACGGCGACGAUCUGUAGCGGGUCUGAGAGGAUGAUCGGCCACGCUGGGACUGAGAGACAGCCCGGACUCCUACGGGAGGCAGCAGUGGGGAAUAUUGGACAAUGGGGGGAACCCUGAUCCAGCCAUGCCGCGUGUGUGAAGAAGGCCUUAUGGUUGUAAAGCACUGUAAGCGAGGAGGAGGCUACUCUAGUUAAUACCUAGGGAUAGUGGACGUUACUCGCAGAAUAAGCACCGACUAACUCUGUGCCAGCCGCCGCCGUAA